rnacentral:lncRNA from 10 species
CUGGGAAAAAAAUCUACGACCUGGGAAAGGAAAGAGCCAGUUGAGGAAAAGCCCUUUGUCCCUUCUUUGUUUAUAUCUCCAACUUCCCGAUUUUUCCUGUGGCUGUGAUGGCCAGGAUGUGGCAGCCCUCUGGUUAUAACAGUGUCACAAAUCCUUCAUUGAGGCUGCCUUGCAACCCAAGCUCUGCCUCUCUCCAAUCCUCUCUUUCCCUCCCUUCAUAGGUGCAGAUGCUGAGAGCACUUUCUAGUCAAGUCCUGCAUGUUCAUUUCUGUCUCAAGUCAGCUUCUCUGAGAAUCCAAUUUAUAAAAAUAUAUUUGUGAAUGUAUAAGUAAAGUGACUUGGAUUUUGUCUACGUACAAGGACUUCUAUGCCUGCAUAAAACAGUCUGACUGGUUGGAAGAGGCCCUUUUCCCAGCCUUUGUAGUGUUUUGCUGCUACAUGAAGGUGCACAUGUCUGGGAAGGCUCAGGAAUGGAUGUUGACAUCAUGUCAUAAACCCCUAUUGUGGUUUCAGUCAUUUGUGGAAUGGUUGCAGAUGGCGAUCAACUGAAGAACGGAUUUGUGGCGUUGUUGGAAAGAGAUCUUCAUGUAAACAGAGUCCCUCUUAUUGGCUGAAGUGAAGAGUCAUUCUGAGGCAUCUCAAGAUGAAGGUUUCCUAUUUGUGAUUAUGAAAAAAAUGUCAAGAACAAGUCCCUUGGUGUUCUUAGACCAAAGUCAGAACAACAGACCUAGUAAGUAUUCUCUCAGCAUUCAUUACAUGUUAGCAACCUUCAAAGCAGUUUGUGUUCCCUCAUAUGGUCCUCCAUGAGGUAAGUAUCAGAGCUAUAGUAAGAUCUAUUUAACAGUGAGACCCAAAUGUGUCCCAAGACCACUCAGGAUUGCCCUGGUAACCCUGAAGCUCGAAAAUCCCUGAGAUCAAGACUGAAGGAGUCUGUGUUGUUCCUCCCGCAUGCUUCUUCCUUGCAUGUCCCUUUUUCUUCCCUUUCUGUAUCCUUUCUUCCCCAU